rnacentral:rRNA from 1 species
CGAUGAACCUCCUUCGGGAGGGGAUUAGUGGCGAACGGGUGAGUAACACGUGGGCAAUCUGCCCUGCACUCUGGGACAAGCCCUGGAAACGGGGUCUAAUACCGGAUAUGAGCCUGGGAGGCAUCUCCCGGGUUGUAAAGCUCCGGCGGUGCAGGAUGAGCCCGCGGCCUAUCAGCUUGUUGGUGAGGUAACGGCUCACCAAGGCGACGACGGGUAGCCGGCCUGAGAGGGCGACCGGCCACACUGGGACUGAGACACGGCCCAGACUCCUACGGGAGGCAGCAGUGGGGAAUAUUGCACAAUGGGCGCAAGCCUGAUGCAGCGACGCCGCGUGAGGGAUGACGGCCUUCGGGUUGUAAACCUCUUUCAGCAGGGAAGAAGCGAAAGUGACGGUACCUGCAGAAGAAGCGCCGGCUAACUACGUGCCAGCAGCCGCGGUAAUACGUAGGGCGCAAGCGUUGUCCGGAAUUAUUGGGCGUAAAGAGCUCGUAGGCGGCUUGUCACGUCGGAUGUGAAAGCCCGGGGCUUAACCCCGGGUCUGCAUUCGAUACGGGCAGGCUAGAGUUCGGUAGGGGAGAUCGGAAUUCCUGGUGUAGCGGUGAAAUGCGCAGAUAUCAGGAGGAACACCGGUGGCGAAGGCGGAUCUCUGGGCCGAUACUGACGCUGAGGAGCGAAAGCGUGGGGAGCGAACAGGAUUAGAUACCCUGGUAGUCCACGCCGUAAACGGUGGGCACUAGGUGUGGGCAACAUUCCACGUUGUCCGUGCCGCAGCUAACGCAUUAAGUGCCCCGCC